UGUCUGUGGCUGGGGGGAGGCGAACACCACAUGGAGGAAUCGCCAAGCAUUGCAGUUCUGCUUAAACACAAGACAGGAAGUGGAGACGUCAACUGCCUGGCCUUUUCAUUUCGACUUCCUCUUCUAUCAGGAGCCAAUCACAGCGUCACACGUGGAGCUGUGAAGACCCUUGCCAACUGUAACAGGCAGGAGGGCACUACAACCACUGCCAGCAAUUGGAUUCGCUGCCCGGUCCCCGUGGUUGAGUGACAACAGGUUGAAUCCACCCAUUGACGGCAGCUCAGAGGAAUUUGAAUGACAGAAAUGCAUUAAAAUGUUCCAUGGCAUGUCGCAGAGGAGCGGUAAUCAAGACGAGAGUCCAAAGCAAUGCAAAGCAUGAACUAAAGACUUAGCAGACUGUGUGCCUGCCCUGCUGUGUUUCUCAACGGGGCUACUCUGGAACCGUGGUGACAUUGUCAUUUUCCUUCUUGUUCUUUCAGUUUUGGGGGUUUGUUUUGUUUUGUUUUUUGUUUUAGGAGGGGGACAUUGGAUAUAAAAAGACUGGGAAGACAGAUUGGACGUUAACUUCAACAAGGUAUUGCACCCUUCCCUUGAGGAAACAACCCCAUGUGCUCAACAUUCCGGGUUCCUAGAUCAGAGGCGAGCUCAGCUACUGCCUGCCUGCCUGUCGCCAUGCUUUCUGAUAUGACGGACUCUCUCAAACAUUUACAAAUUUUGAGUCUUUCAAGCUUUAACCCCUUUGUACCUGGAUAUAAAUACUAGACACGUAGAUGAUUUUAUAUAGCUGCAUGUGCUGGUUACACAAACUUCAAUGUAUCUGCAAGAGGGAUCAUCUAAGAAAAGACUCCAUCAGAAUGCCUUUCCUGUCUCCAAAUUCCUACCUCAAGUUCCUGCCUGGCCUCAAUUCACGCUACACUGUGCUAGUGACAUCUGUCAAGCAAGCCGUGUUCGAUGGUCCAGAGAUAUCAAUGUUCGAGGAUGCAGGGACACUUUAACCCGGAAUCCCCAAGCCACGCCCACCACGGGCCCCCCAAGGCAGCUGGGAUGCUAGUUUAGUUUAGACCAGCCCCCAAUCCCCAAGACCCCGCCCUCAGUCCAACCG